rnacentral:rRNA from 1 species
UGGGGAAUAUUGCACAAUGGGCGCAAGCCUGAUGCAGCCAUGCCGCGUGUGUGAAGAAGGCCUUCGGGUUGUAAAGCACUUUCAGCGAGGAGGAAGGGUAGUGUGUUAAUAGCACAUUGCAUUGACGUUACUCGCAGAAGAAGCACCGGCUAACUCCGUGCCAGCAGCCGCGGUAAUACGGAGGGGGCAAGCGUUAAUCGGAAUUACUGGGCGUAAAGCGCACGCAGGCGGUUUGUUAAGUCAGAUGUGAAAUCCCCGCGCUUAACGUGGGAACUGCAUUUGAAACUGGCAAGCUAGAGUCUUGUAGAGGGGGGUAGAAUUCCAGGUGUAGCGGUGAAAUGCGUAGAGAUCUGGAGGAAUACCGGUGGCGAAGGCGGCCCCCUGGACAAAGACUGACGCUCAGGUGUGAAAGCGUGGGGAGCAAACA